AUUGAACGCUGGCGGCAUGCUUUACACAUGCAAGUCGAACGGUAACAGGCCUUCGGGUGCUGACGAGUGGCGAACGGGUGAGUAAUGCAUCGGAACGUGCCCAAUCGUGGGGGAUAACGUAGCGAAAGUUACGCUAAUACCGCAUAAGCCCUGAGGGGGAAAGUGGGGGACCGCAAGGCCUCACGCGAAUGGAGCGGCCGAUGUCAGAUUAGCUAGUUGGUGGGGUAAAGGCUCACCAAGGCGACGAUCUGUAGCGGGUCUGAGAGGAUGAUCCGCCACACUGGGACUGAGACACGGCCCAGACUCCUACGGGAGGCAGCAGUGGGGAAUUUUGGACAAUGGGCGCAAGCCUGAUCCAGCCAUGCCGCGUGCGGGACGAAGGCCUUGGUUGU
rnacentral:rRNA from 1 species